CCAGGGAGAUUAGCGGAAUCGAUUCCGCUCAAACUCGUGUGAGUUUCGACUGCGAGUGUGCGGAUUUGCUUCUGCCAAUCUCCUCGG
rnacentral:pre_miRNA from 1 species